UGUGAACUGUGCUGCUACAAACAUGGGUAUGCAUUUAUCACCAUAGUAUGAUGACUUUGACACUUUAGGUUAAAUACCAAGGAGUAUUACAGCUGGUGGUUCCAUUUCUAGUUUUUUGAGGAAAUUUUAUUCUAAUUUCCAUAGUGGUAGUACUAAUUUACAUUUCCACCAAUAGUGUAAAAGUGUUCCUUUUUCUCUACAUUUUCUCCAACAUUUAUUAUCAUUUGCAUUCUUGCUGUCUGCCAUUAUAAGCUGGACACCACAAAUAUUUAAUACAGUUCCUAGAAAACAGUAGAUAUUCCAUAGGUUCAGGUGGUAAUCAUUCUAUUGUUCUUCUUUAUUUUAUUUAUUUGAAUUUGUUAUAUAUGAAAGCAGAAUGCAAUUCAAUUCAUAUUGGACAAACGGAGCACACUUUUUCAUAUCUUUGGUUGUACACGAAGAAGAGUCACAUCAUUGUGUUUACAUACAUGUUCCUAGGGUAAUGAUGUCCAUCUCAUUCCACUGUCUUUCCUACCCCAUUACCCAUCCGUUCCCUCCCUCCCCUUUGCACUAUCUAAUGUUCCUCCCAUGCUCCCCGCAAUCCCCAUUAUGAGUCAGUAUCCUAAUAUCAGAGAAAAGAUUUGGCAUUUGUUUUUUGGGAAUUGGCUUAUUUCACUUAGUAUUAUAUUCUCCACCUCCGUCCAUUUACCUGCAAAUGCCAUGAUUUUAUUCUCUUUUAAUGCUGAGUAAUAUUCCACUAUGUAUAUAUACCACAUUUUCUUUAUAUACUCAUCUACUGAAGGUAUCUAGGUUGGUUCCACAAUUUAGUUAUUUUGAAUUGUGCUGCUAUAAACAUAAAUAUGUCUGCAUCCCUAGAGUAUGCUGUUUUUAAGUCCUUUGAGUAUAGACCUAGAAGUGGGAUAGCUGGGUCAAAGGUGGUUCCAUUCACGGUUUUCCAAGGAAUCUCCAUACUGCUUUUUAUAAUGGUUGUACCAAUUUGCAGUCCCACCAGCAGUGUAUGAGUGUACAUUUCCCCCCACAUCCUCACCAAUACUUAUUAUUGUUUGUAUUCUUUUUUUUUUUUUGGUGAGGAUCAUUUUAUUUUUUUUAAUUUUUUUAUUGUUGGUUGUUCAAAACAUUACAUAGUUCUUGAUAUAUCAUAUUUCACACUUUGAUUCAAGUGGGUUAUGAACUCCCAUUUUUACCCCGUAUACAGAUUGCAGAAUCACAUCAGUUACACAUCCAUUGAUUUACAUAUUGCCAUACUAGUGUCUGUUGUGUUCUGCUGCCUUUCCUAUCCUCUACUAUCCCCCCUCCGUUUGUAUUCUUUUUUUUAAAAAAAAUUAAUAUUUAUUUUUAGUUUCUGGCGGACAUAACAUCUUUGUUUGUAUGUGGUGCUGAGGAUCGAACCCGGGCCGCACGCAUUCCAGGAGAGCGCGGUACCGCUUGAGCCACAUCCCCAGCCCUAGUUGUUUGUAUUCUUAAUAGCUACCAUUCUGACUGGAGUGAGAUGAAAUCUUAAGAGUAGUUUUGAUUUGCACUUCUCUAAUUACUAGAGGUGUUGAACAUUUUUUCGUAUAUUUGUUCUUUGAUUGCAUAUCAUCUUCUUAGAAGUGUCUGUUCAGUUUCUUGGCCCAUUUAUUGAUUGGAUCAUUUGGGGUUUUUUUUGGUAUUAAGAUUUUUGAGUUCUUU
rnacentral:lncRNA from 1 species